rnacentral:misc_RNA from 1 species
AACGCACAUUGCGCUCUCCGGUACUCCGGUGAGCAUGCCCGUUUCAGAAUCAGUAACAAUUCUCGCCAAACUCGUGCGGUUCCGGGGGGGACGCCGAGCGAGGCGGAUUUUGGAUGCGCUGUUUCUUCCGGUCUUUUCCGGGGGAGACUCGUCCCAAACGCAUGGGAACUGCGAAGGCCCCGUUUCCUUCUCUGGAGACGGACCUUGCAAAGAUGGAACAAAAACCUUUCGGGUUUGGAACCUACUCUUUGCUCGGUUGAAGGCGCUUUCGUUUUGCUUUCCGCCACGCCCAAUCUCGGGCAACCGAAGGAUUCCUCCUUGGAGAAGUCCUUCAAGAACUUGGUCUGAAAUCGGGCAAGAAAACCCGCUGAACUUAA